rnacentral:lncRNA from 1 species
AUGCGAGUUCCCUUCCUCCGAUUGUCAGAAAUUUCUUUUUCACUGUGUGGGCAGGAGACAGAUUUUAACUGUCUCUAUUUUCUCCCUUUUUUUUUUUUUUUUUUUGGGGGGGGGGGGGGGGGGGGGGGGGGGGGGGGGCCUUUUUUUUUUUUUUUUUUUUUAAUUUCGUUUUGUCCCCCCUCCCCCUUCCCUUCCUUCCUUCCCUGCUCCUCUCGUCUCUCCCUCCCCCCUUCCUCUUCCCUCCCUCCUUUUUCCCUCCCUUCCCCACGGCUCUUUUCCUCCCUUUUCCUUUACAAACCAUGUCUCUGGAACAACCCCCGGCCGGAUCCAUGCCUCUGUCCCCAGGUAAGCCAUGCCCAGCGGGAUGGUGACCCUGGGCCAGCUCUCCCAAAGUCCGCGGGGACGUCGUGUGUCCUCCCCCCCGCCACUCGCUGCUCCCUGUUGGGGAAGGUCGGGAGGGGGGGGGGGGGGGCCCGCCACUCGCUGCUACCUGUUGGGGAAGGUCGGGAGACGCCAGUUGGGGCUGUCUCCAUCCUCCUCCUCCUCCUCCUCCUCCUCUCCCUGAGCGAUUCCCGGUGGACACCUCCUCCCCUCCCUUCUGGCUGCGCUGCUCUCCGGGAUGCGCGGGGCUCCGGGGAUGGAGCGCGGGGGAAGCAGCCGGCGGCAGGGGGGGGGGGGGGGGGGGGGGGGGGGGGGGGGGGGGGGGGGGGGGGGGGGGGGGGGGGGGGGGGGGGGGGGGGGGGGGGGGGGGGGGGUGGGUUGGGACAGGGCAGCUCGGGGGGCUCCGGGGUGACCCCCCCCCCCCAAAAACCCCUGGGACGGCACCCCAAGUUUGAAGCCCGGCUCCCGCUUUUUCCCAUUCCCGAGGUUUCUGGGGAGCGGGGAUGGGCUCUCGCAAAGUUUGUGCUGAGGGAGCCUCGGCUCUCUGCUGAGGGUGGUUUGGGGGGCUGGGGGUCCCGGGGGACCCGCCACCCUCGGGAAGGAAGGUGUGUAAGCGGGGCCGUGCCGGGGGCUGCCCACCCUCAUCCCCCCGUGGGUGAAGCUGGAUGGAGGUGCGAGCCCCCUCUCAUCCCUGCCUGGCUGGGAUGCAGGGCAGCACCGGGCUCCUUCGGCUGCAGCCCGCCUCCCCUGCCAGCCCAAGGCUGCCCAGAUGUGCGGGAUCUCUCUCCUCCUCUCCCCUUCCUGCCCUCGGCACCCAGCGCUCCGUCUCGUCUCGUCUCCCUGCACCCAGUCCCCGCUUUCUCUGGGUCCAGGUGCUGCUCCCGAGUGCCUGGGUGUUGCUGGUGA